GUGGGGAAUAUUGGGCAAUGGGCGAAAGCCUGACCCAGCAACGCCGCGUGAGGGAAGAAGGUUUUCGGAUUGUAAACCUCUGUCCUUGGUGACGAACACAAUGACGGUAGCCAAGGAGGAAGCCCCGGCUAACUACGUGCCAGCAGCCGCGGUAAUACGUAGGGGGCAAGCGUUGUCCGGAAUGACUGGGCGUAAAUGGCAUGUAGGCGGCCGAUUAAGUCUGGAGUGAAAGUCAUGCUUUCAAGGUGGGAAUUGCUUUGGGGACUGGUUGGCUUGAGUGCGGAAGAGGCAAGUGGAAUUACCAGUGUAGCGGUGAAAUGCGUAGAGAUUGGGAGGAACACCAGUGGCGGAGGCGACUUGCUGGGCCGUAACUGACGCUGAGGCGCGAAAGCGUGGGGAGCGAACAGGAUUAGAAACCCGUGUAGUCC
rnacentral:rRNA from 1 species